rnacentral:lncRNA from 1 species
GGAAAAGAGGAAGACCAAAUAUGGGAUGGAUUAGUUCCAUAAAGGAAACCCUAGGCCUGAGUCUACAGAAGCUGAGUAGAGCUGUUGAGGACAGACAUCGUGGACAUCACUCAUUCAUAAGGUUGCUGGGAGUUGGAGCUGACUUGAUGGCACGUAACAACAAAUACAUUUUAGAUCCAGAGCUGGGCAUUAGGGACACCAAGUCCAACAAGACGAGGAUCUGGAGCCCAGCAGGAGGACAGCCAGUUUUCCCAGGGAUGCAACGACCUCCAGGAAAUGAGAGAAAGAGAUGGCGUGGAAUCUCAAAGACGACAACACCAGAUGGUCGACAUCCCAAGAGCCCCCUUUUCCAGCCCAUUUGCCCUAUAGAACUGCUUCAAAAUGUUGUAGUUUUAGGAUGGUUCUUUAGGACACGAGUCGCCAUCUUCCCCCUUGCAAGCGAGA